GCUCCGCUGAGAAAGAAGCGCAUCUAAUUAGGUGCUCCUUUCCGAGAUGAGAUGAGCGUGGACCGCUGCUGAGGGAAGGCUUAUUCAUUUGCUGGGUCCUCGGCUCCUUCCUCUUUACCUUUUCCCUCCUUGUGCCGACCGCUUCACGUUGCCACCGUCGCUUGAGUUGGUGAAAAGUGUGAGCAUGUUGUCGGGAAGGGGUGGCUUUCGCUAGUCGGAUACGCAGGCAGGAGAGAACUGCUCCUGGGGAGGAAUCGCAUGGGAACGCCGUUCACCGCUCUGCUUCCUCUUGCCUCCACCACGGCUGCCUCCAUGACUCCACAGACUUGGCUGUUCUAUGGGUUUGGAUGUUGUUACAUACUGACAUCAGCGCUCCUCGCCUCACAGGCCCAAGGACUGCAGUGCUAUGGCUGUAACAUCAUCCAGGGACAGAGGUAUGUGGAUGUGGGCUGCUCGAACCCCGAGAUCAUCACCUGCUCUCACGCCCAUAAAGGCUUCAAGCAUCGCUUCUGUAUCAAGACAGAGAGCAGUGAGUCGCCUUCUGCGCCACUCUUGGCCAUUCACACUCAGCGUGGACAUAGAGUUUCACCACACUGUUUACGCAGAAUUGAUCCAUCAACACCGUCGGUUCCAGAAGUUCAAAUACUCUCGGUAAUGACACUGCAUUAAUGCUAGCUUGCGCUUGCAAACAGUACUCACAAUUUAUAAGAAUUUUAAAAUGACCCUAAUAUCUGCAUAGAAAAACACGUAAUAUAAUAAUUUCAAGGUUUUUUUAACGCCAAGUCUGCUGAUUCCAGCUCAACGAGCUCUUGUAAAGCAGAGUGUUUGUUCACUGACGGGCUCCCCGGAUAUAAAGAAAAAGGGGGUCAAACAAAGGUACAAUGGAGAAAAGGGCACCCUGCAUGUUUUCUCUGCCCGGGAAGCAUUUUCCUGUCACUCAGUCUCAGACCACAAGAAAUCACUCAUGGUCUUCAUCUGGCCAUGUAAAUUCUGGCUUCUUUUUUGCAAACAAUAAGCUCUUAACUUUUGUGGGAAUGAAAAAUUUGCUCUGGAAAUUUACAUUUGAAGCACUGGGGUCCACCCACCAAUGUCCCUGAUCCUCUAACCAAAGUGGAUUACAUUUCCUUCCCUCUGCUGUUCAGAUUUUCAUAUGUUUAAAACAUAUUAUUAGAGCUGUAUCUUGAUUGCGAGUUUCACCAAACCACAGCCUAGUACAAAUACGGCUGCUCUUGUACUAUUUAG
rnacentral:lncRNA from 1 species